rnacentral:lncRNA from 1 species
GGGAAAAACAGGGAGUCAGAACAUCUGACACAAAUUCAAAUACCUUACCUAAGUUCAUCCUUCAGAAAUUUUAUAUGCAUGGCCAUAAAAGUGUUGAAGAUGUGCACAUUUUUAGUAUGAGGCUCUUCAGCACUUCAUAUGAAAGUACUUUGUCAAAGCUUUUACACCCCAAUAAAUUUACAAAAGACAUUCAAUAAUUAAAUAAUAACAUUGAACUCAAACUAUUUACC